CACUAUGCCUAGCCUUAAACAUUGAUGAUAGCUUACAAUUAUCAUCCGCCUGGGGACUACGAGCACCAGCUUAAAACCCAAAGGACUUGGCGGUGCUUUAGACCCACCUAGAGGAGCCUGUUCUAGAACCGAUAACCCCCGUUCAACCUCACCCUUCCUUGUUCUUCCCGCCUAUAUACCACCGUCGUCAGCUUACCCUGUGAAGGGCUAAUAGUAAGCAAAACCGGCAAAGCCCAAAACGUCAGGUCGAGGUGUAGCGUAUGGAAGGGGAAGAAAUGGGCUACAUUCGCUGAUUUAGUGUAUACGAAUGACACCCUGAAACACGUGUCUGAAGGAGGAUUUAGCAGUAAGCAGAAAAUAGAGCGUUCUACUGAAACUGGCCCUGAAGCGCGCACACACCGCCCGUCACUCUCCCCGAGCUAAGACUCUCAAAUAAAUAAAUAACUAUACCUGCAAAGGGGAGGCAAGUCGUAA
rnacentral:rRNA from 1 species